rnacentral:rRNA from 1 species
AUUGAACGCUGGCGGCAUGCUUUACACAUGCAAGUCGAACGGUAACAGGCCUUCGGGUGCUGACGAGUGGCGAACGGGUGAGUAAUGCAUCGGAACGUACCCAGAGUUGGGGGAUAACGCAGCUAAAGCUGUGCUAAUACCGCAUGUGAUCUGAGGAUGAAAGCGGGGGACCGAGCAGCAAUGUUUGGCCUCGCGCCUUUGGAGCGGCCGAUGUCGGAUUAGCUAGUUGGGGGGGUAAAGGCCUACCAAGGCGACGAUCCGUAGCUGGUCUGAGAGGACGACCAGCCACACUGGGACUGAGACACGGACCAGACUCCUACGGGAGGCAGCAGUGGGGAAUUUUGGACAAUGGGCGCAAGCCUGAUCCAGCAAUGCCGCGUGAGGGAAGAAGGCCUUCGGGUUGUAAACCGCUUUUGGCAGGAACGAAACGGUGUCCGCUAAUACCGGGCGAUAAUGACGGUACCUGGAGAAUAAGCACCGGCUAACUACGUG